GGCAGUUAUGUGUACUCAUUUUGAUCUCUGUGAUUUAUGAGAUUACGGAAAUUGCCAACAAUAAAUUAGAUUAUAUAAAGAAAUGUCUUAUCUUAGUUCAUCUAAUUAGGGCUCUUUGUAUACUCACAUCA
rnacentral:snoRNA from 1 species